UACGGAGGAUCCAAGCGUUAUCCGGAUUUAUUGGGUUUAAAGGGUGCGUAGGCGGUUUAUUAAGUCAGUGGUGAAAGCCCCGGAGCUCAACUUCGGAACUGCCAUUGAUACUGAUAGACUUGAGUACAGAUGAAGUGGGCGGAAUGUGACAAGUAGCGGUGAAAUGCUUAGAUAUGUCACAGAACACCGAUUGCGAAGGCAGCUCACUAAA
rnacentral:rRNA from 1 species